rnacentral:lncRNA from 1 species
AAUUAGUAUUUAGAUGAAAAUUACUUUUCUUCCGCUAUUUAUCUAUAUAGCCGUGGAACUGAAAUUUUUAUAGUUUUGUUGUUUGUCUGACAAAAAGUAAAUGACAUAAACAUUUUAUUAUUAUUUUGCUUUUUCUUAGUCAACUUCGGAUAAAGAUGGAUUGAACUCACUUACACUAUUUUGAAAAGUGUAAGUUUCGAUCGAGAGUUAAAUUAUGAUGAACCAAACAAUAAAAUAGAUAUUUACGAUCAAAAAUUACUUUAACCCUCUCCACUUUCAGAGAAACAAACACACCUUCGCCAAAUUCGAAGUGUCACCUUUUGUUGGCGCAUCUAAUCUAAGCCAUUUUCAGAUGGAAAACAACUACAAACCACCAAAAAGAACAGGGUCAUUCUUCCUGGACAAUGUUUCUGACUAACUUUCCUCUUUGGGUGCGUUUGGUUCGCAUUAUGAAAGAUUACUAGGAAUAAAAGAUAUCCGAGAAUUUUAUUCCUAUUCAUUCUAUUACUAAAAAUGUGAAAUUCCUGUGUUUGGUUCGCACGGUAAUAUUAAUUAGACAUGUUAUUUAAUAUUGCAAAAAAAUAUACAAUUAAUUAAUUUAUUUAUUUAAUUAAUUUUAGAUAAUGUUAUCAAAAGUUUCAACAUCUUUUUAGAAAAAAAGGAGAGAGAGUAUAAGUUAGAGAGAGAGAGUAUAAUUAAAAAAAUAGAAAGAAAAAUAUAGUCGAAAUUAGAGUGAGUGAGAGAGUUGAAAUUUUAGAAAGAGAGAGAGAGAGAAAGCUUAGUUUAGAGAGAGAAAAAAAGGUUAAAUUUUAGAGAGAAAAAUAAGUUUAGAGAGAGAUAUAAGGUUAGAGGGUAAAGAAAAAUAAUAUCAAUUAGCCGGCGGGUAGGAAGAAAUAAAGAGAUUAGACAUAUUAUGAUUACCCCAAUCCAUUAAUUUGAGGAUACCCACCCUCCCUCAAGGGAAUGAGAUUAGUAUUUUGGGGUGAAUCAUAUUUCCAAGAGAAUCCAAUAUUACCAACUGGAUUACUUAGUGCGUUUAGCCAAACACCGUCAUAUUUUUUUUAUUCCUAUUGAAUUACUAGGAAUUUUUAAAAGAUAGCGUGAACCAAACGCGCCCUUUAUAUCAUAUGCGAGUCAUCUGCUUUGGUGCUUUUGCCCAAUCAAAAUGUUUAGGAUCUAAAAGCGAUAUCAUAGAAGAUGAUACUUAACACUCCCUCAAUCUAGAAUUAUACUUAAUAUCGAAAUGGUGACUCAGCCCAUUCUGGCCUCCUGCCCGCAGGGCAGGAUGCUAGCCCAUUUAAGCUAACAAUCCUCUCUUCAGUAUCUGGACAUAUUUGUAGCAUGCGGGAAUCGAACCCGUGACCAUUGGCUCUAAUACCACUUGUUGGAUCGUUGGUGCGAAUCAUUAAUCCCAAAAGCUCGAGUUGUUAGAAAUACGCAAUUAAUUCACUUAAAGCGUAUAAAUACAGCGCCCAUGGGUUUCGAUUGUGAUUCGACCUACCCGGCCUCACGCCACUUCGAACAUGACUUGACCUACCCAGUCUCACAUCAUUUCGAAUGCGACGCCGUCCAAUCCGACCUCCUACCACAGGAAAGAAUGCUGGCCCAUUUAAGCUGACAGUAAGUCAACUUACAUAUCCCUCUAAAUUUUUAAUAAUUGUA